rnacentral:rRNA from 1 species
UACGGAGGAUGCGAGCGUUAUCCGGAUUUAUUGGGUUUAAAGGGUACGUAGGCGGACGCUUAAGUCAGCGGUAAAAUUGCGGGGCUCAACCUCGUCGAGCCGUUGAAACUGGGUGCCUUGAGUGGGCGAGAAGUACGCGGAAUGCGUGGUGUAGCGGUGAAAUGCAUAGAUAUCACGCAGAACUCCGAUUGCGAAGGCAGCGUACCGGCGCCCAACUGACGCUGAAGCACGAAGGCGUGGGUAUCGAACAGG